AACGUAGGUCUCAAGCGUUGUUCGGAUUCAUUGGGCGUAAAGGGUGCGUAGGUGGCGCUGUAAGUCGGGUGUGAAAUUUCGGAGCUUAACUCCGAAACUGCAUUCGAUACUGCGGUGCUUGAGGACUGGAGAGGAGACUGGAAUUCAUGGUGUAGCAGUGAAAUGCGUAGAGAUCAUGAGGAAGACCAGUGGCGAAGGCGGGUCUCUGGACAGUUCCUGACACUGAGGCACGAAGGCCAGGGGAGCAAACGGG
rnacentral:rRNA from 1 species